rnacentral:snRNA from 1 species
AUCGCUUCUCGGCUCUUUGGAGCUAAAAUCAAAGCGUAGUCUCUGUUCUUAUCAGCUUGAUCUCUGAUCUCCUUGAUGUGAGGACUGUAUGUUAGCUCAAUUUUUGAAAUGAGGGGGUCAGAAGAGAAGCUUGCUUUGUCUGCCCCAUGCAUCGACCUGGUAUUGCACUGUCUCCAGGAACGGUGUAUCUCCC